AAUGCUAAAAUUAAAAUGAGUUAAAAGUUAAUUGUCAGAAAAAAUAAUCUGAAUAUCAAACACUGGAUCAUCAUUAACUUGAAAUCUUAGCAUGUCUUUGACUGCUAAAAAAUGUUUUUUCUUUGUUUUCAGUAUGCCACGAGAAAGGAAACACAUGAAGGACUUUGCCAUUUGCCACACAACCCUCUAUCGAUUUAUUGACAAAAGAGAGAAACUAGGCCCAGGAGACGAGGCAUCAGCAGGGUACUGGACUCACAGGAGGUUCUUUUCUAAACAGCAAGAAAAGGUCCUUGCAGAAUACCUAAAAACUGCAUCUGAUCUAUUCUAUGGUCAGAGCACCAAAGAGGUUUGUCAGUUUUCCUUCCUGCUGGCUGUGCAUUAUCAUUGUAAUUAUCCUGAAACCUGGAAUGACAGCUCCAUGGCCAGUCGUGACUGUUUAUUGGCUUUUAUGAAGAGGUAGUUCUGUCUUCCCAUACAGCACCCGUAACCUACAGUACCCAUAACAUACAGUAACCUACCUGCUCAUCCAGAUCCAUAAAUUUUAACGGAUGUUUUCCAGUUUUUUUUGACAAUCUUUGCAAGGUACUAGUUAACAACGCAUGUCAGAGCACAAACCAAGCCAUGAAGUCCAAGGAAUUGUCUGUAGACCUCUGAGACAGGAUUGUAUUGAGGCACAGAAAAAAUUCUGCAGCAUUGAAGGUCCUAAUCAGCACAGUGGCCUCCAUCAUCCGUAUAUGGAAGAAGUUUGAAACCACCAGAACUGUUCCUGCGGGCCGCCCAGCCAAACUGAGCGAUCUGGGAGAAGGGUCUUAGUCAAGGAGGUGACCAAUAACCCGACGGUCAUUCUGACAGAGCUCCAGCUUUUCUCUGUGUAGAGGAGAACCUUCCAGAAGAAAAACCAUCUCUGCAGCACUCCACCAAUCAAGCCUGUAUGGUAAAGUGGCCAGACAGAAGCCUCACCUCAGUAAAAAGCACAUUGAUGGCCCACCUGGAGUUUGCCAAAAGGCACCGAAAGGACUCUCAGACAAUGAGAAGCAAUAUUCUAUGGUCUGAUGAUACAAGAUUGAACACUUUAUCAUGAAAAGCAAGUGCCAUGUCUGGAGGAAACCAGGCACUGUUUAUCACCUGGCCAAUGCCAUCACUGAUGUUUUUCAGUGGCGGGAACUGGGAGACUUGUCAGGAUCAAGGGAAAGAUGAAUACAGCAAUGUACAGAGACAUCCUUGAUGAAAUCCUGCUCCAGAGAGCUCUGGACCUCAGACUAGGGCGGAGGUUCAUCUUCCAACAGGAGGACAACAACCCUGAACACACAGCCAAGAUAACAAAGAAAAGGCAACGGGACAUCUUGGUGAAUGUCCUUGAGUGGCCCAGCCAGAGCCCAGACUUUGGAACCGAUUGAACAUGUCUGGAAAGAUCUGAAAAUGGCUGUGCCCCAAGGCUCACCAUCCAGCCUGAAGGACCUUGAGGGGUCCUGCAAAGAAUAAUGAGAGAAAAUACUCAAAAAGACUUGAGGCCAAAGGUGCUUCAACAAAGUAAUGGGCAAUUUGUAUUUUUAAUAAAUCUGCAAAGAUUUCAAACAAACUUCUUUCACGUUGUCAUUAUGGGGUAUUGUUUGUAGAAUUUAAUCCAUUUUGGAAUAAGGCUGUAACAUGGCAAAAUGUUGAAAAAGUGAAGCACUGUGUAUACUUUCCGGAAGCACUGUAGAUAGAGAGAUGGAUGGUGUUUGGUGCACUGAAAGCUCAAGAAAUUUCAAUUCAAUUCGCUUCAGUUUAUUUGUAUAGCGCAGAGGUAUUCAACUAAAAUUUAAAGAGGUCCAGUAAGAGAAAGUUUCUUGAAGCAAAGGUCCGGAAGAUCAUAAUGUCUAACUAGUUAGUGUGAUAUAUA